GUCGUAUUAGCUCAGCUGGAUAGAGCACACGCCUCCUAAGCGUGGGGUCGGAGGUUCAAAUCCUCUAUGCGACGCCA
rnacentral:tRNA from 1 species